rnacentral:tRNA from 1 species
GGUCCCGUAGCUCAAUUGGCCAGAGCAACCGCCUUACACGCGGUAGGUUAACGGUUCGAGCCCGUUCGGGACCA